GAUGAACGCUGGCGGCGUGCUUAACACAUGCAAGUCGAACGAAGCACUUUGAAAGCUUGCUUUUGGAGUGACUGAGUGGCGGACGGGUGAGUAACGCGUGGGUAACCUGCCUUAUACAGGGGGAUAACAGUUGGAAACGACUGCUAAUACCGCAUAAGCGCACAGUGCCGCAUGGCACAGUGUGAAAAACUCCGGUGGUAUAAGAUGGACCCGCGUCUGAUUAGCUAGUUGGUGAGGUAACGGCUCACCAAGGCGACGAUCAGUAGCCGGCUUGAGAGAGUGAUCGGCCACAUUGGGACUGAGACACGGCCCAAACUCCUACGGGAGGCAGCAGUGGGGAAUAUUGCACAAUGGGGGAAACCCUGAUGCAGCAACGCCGCGUGAGUGAAGAAGUAUUUCGGUAUGUAAAGCUCUAUCAGCAGGGAAGAUAAUGACGGUACCUGACUAAGAAGCCCCGGCUAACUACGUGCCAGCCGCCGCGGUAACAC
rnacentral:rRNA from 1 species